rnacentral:rRNA from 1 species
UCGAGCGGAUUAUAGAGCUUGCUCUAUAGUUUAGCGGCGAACGGGUGAGUAAUGCCUAGGAAUCUGCCCAUUAGCGGGGGAUAACGUUCCGAAAGGAACGCUAAUACCGCAUACGCCCUACGGGGGAAAGCAGGGGAUCUUCGGACCUUGCACUAAUGGAUGAGCCUAGGUCAGAUUAGCUAGUUGGUGAGGUAAUGGCUCACCA